UUGAUACAUUGUAGAAAUAAUAGAAGUCUCCUAAAGGGUUGUAGUGAGCUUUUUUCAGUUUCAAAGAACAAAGCAGCUAAUAGGCGAUGUAUGUAAAAUAACUUCUCCAAUUUUUUUUUUUAAGAAAGUGAAUUAUUGUCAGAAAAGUUCUACCGACUCUUAUCUUGUGCCAAAAAUAGCACUGCAAAAUCCCACAAACUCAAGAGGGAAAAUUGAUGAAGAAAUCUUGGAUAUAAUUACAUAUACUAUCUUUAUGUUAGGGAAAAAAUAAAUAAGGCCCAGGGAAUGAUGAGAUUCACAGUCCAAAAUAAAACUGAAAUUAGACUUUCCCUAACUUUUUUUUCCCCUUGCAAAUGUCAUCUGCAUAUUAUCUUACUUUUAUGCUUGUAACCUAAGAUUACCAGUGAUCUCUUUUCUCCUUAUUCUAAAUAUUCAGUUACUCAGUGGUGAUUAUUGUGGCCUUCUUGGCUUACUCCAAUAUUAGAUUAAUAUAGAUUUCUUGUGCCAAAUUAGCGGAAAUCACUGUAGCACAUAAGAGUGAUUCACUCUUUUUUAGUUGUAUUUAUGUUAUGGAAGCAGCAUCAUUUUAGGCUUAAAAGCUUUUAUAUUUUAAAUUUGGAUAUACUGUACCUUAGAGAGCAUAAAAGGUAGUUGUAUUUAAAACGUUUCAAAGUACAUGGGAACUUUUAUGGAGAUUCUAAUUUAGUUAUGAUUCGAGGAGCUCUCUCUUUUUUUUUUUUUUUAAGAGUGGCCAUUUCUAUUCAGCUCUAACAUCAAUCAGUAAGAUUUAAAGUUUCCUGAUUCUUCCUGACUUAGACAUUAUAAGCGCAAAUUAACUAGGCUAGCUAUGCUAGGAGCUGUCCGUGGUAGCAUGUUCUUUAAAAAGUUAGCUGUUAUAAAAUGCAUAUCUGCAUUCUCUGUGUAAUUGGCUUUAUUACCAUUUUUAAAGGUCAGGAUUAAAUUCUUAUUAGAUAAAUUAACUUGGUAUACACACUAGUUAUUUGCAGAUAAUGUAACAAUCUUACUCAUAACUCAAUUGCAAAACUAAACUUCCAUGAUGUUAAUGAAUGUUUCUGGUUGCAGCUUUAAAGUAUGUAUGAGCAAAUAAACAAAAAUCACAAGCUAUUAAAUGUGUGCUUCUUUAAGUUGACAUUAAUAUAAAAGCACAGUGCAAAUAGUCUCCAUGGUAGUAGGGCAAUGCGAACAAACAUCAAAAAAUGUGACUUGUAUGACUUUAUUGCUCUUGAAAUUAAUUCUUGUCCUUAUGUGACCUGCCAUGUCUGCUAUAGAAAUCCAAAAGAUCAUAAUUGUUUGAUAUGAAAUGCAAAAAGAAUAGUUAAAUUGAAAGUUUAACAUCAUGAAAUUCAAAAUCCCAAGCGGUAUAUAAACAUUAAAAGAAACUUUGGACUGCUAAUCCUAGGAAAUGAGUUUUAUGGAUUGAAUUCAACAAGGCUUCAGAAAUGGUUCCAUCUGCUGCCUAGCAGCUGGUGAAAGGAUAAAUUUAAUUCAUUAAUUCAUUUGGAAAAAAGGAUCCAAAGUAGUAAAGACUUCAUUGCUCAUAAUGCAUAUAGGUGAAAACACAAACUGAAAUCUGGCCCAAUUGAUCAUCCUAGAUAAUGAGCUACAUUUUGUCUUCCCUUUUUUGGUAAAGGUCUUAGUGAUUGAGUCAAUACGGUGUUGAUUUUUACGACAAUAACCAAUCAUUUCUAAUCACUUCCGUGAUUAAAAAAAAAAAACAACUCAGGGAAAUUCAAAGUAAGUCACAGUUUUUAAUCUAGGGAACUGUGGGCAUUAGAAAUUUUACGUGUUCCCAUUUUGCAUAUGUGUCCAUGGCAACCGUGUGUAUCUGUAGGCUUACAAUGUAUACAUACCGAUACUCUGAAUCAUAUACAUUCUGAAUCGCUUCAAUAACUACUUCUUUUAAGUGGUGCCAUCCCAUUUGUUGAAAUAUUCAAACUUUUUUACUACUCAGGAUUAAUGUCAGCAAAGUGUGCUUGAGAUUCCAAGUUCAUAUUUACUCCAAAGUUGCAAGGUUCAAAAUAACUCUUGUUUUGCUUUUUCCUCUUGCGACACUUCAAGCCAGUUAUCCCAGCUUGUUCCACUCACGUGUUCUGGAGUACUUCAAAAGAUAAAAAGUUGUGCUUGAAGCCGUCUUGAUCACUUUGACAUAGAACAUGGGGAAAAGAUUCAUUUGGCUGGAUGGCCCAGGACUUUUUAAUAUCUUUGCACAAAAAUAGAAGGUUGAAGCCCAGUGUCUGGAAUUGUUUAAAUGUAACCAACAUGAUGAGAUACCGAGAAAGUUAUUGUUGUUGAAUUCCCUUUAACUUGGAAUCUACUUGUAUCGGUGGAUUUUUUUAUCUGCUGGCAUUUUCACGAGAGCGAGUUUUCCCCUGGAAGUGUAGGGCUCACCUUCUGGGCCAGGUAAAUGUGUCCUGGUUGCCAGUGAGUGGAUCAUGAUGGACAUAAGAACACCCCUGACUGCUUCCACCAGCGUACAUUCUAGCCAUUCCUUUCGGAUGCUGAUUUCAUGAAUGGCUUUGACUUUUCUUUCUCUGUGGCCAUAGCUCUGUGGUGGGUUUUUUGGAUUUACUCUAAAGGUUCUGUUUGCACCCUGUGGGCUGGGUUAAGAAUCAGGGUUUAUGCAUUUACUUUUUUGAUCUUUUCUUUUUUUUCUUUUCUUUUUUUUUUUUUUUUUGCCUUUGAGGCUCUUCCACGGUGUCAGCUGCUGACUGAUACGGUUGGUAAACAGAGAUAAGGAAUAAAUAGAGCACAGGCAAAAGGAGAUAGUUCUGUGGGGGCCCAGAUUGCUGCCAGUCUGUUCAGGGGAGAUGCAGGGCCUGUCCUUUUCCCAGAUUAAAUUAGUGUGCGAAAUCUCCAGCGACCUCCUCCCCUUCUCCGCAUACUCUUGAGCCAAGCUGAACAGCCUCUGCUGUAAAGUAUUCAUUUUACCCAGGGACAAGCCGGACAAUGGACCUCUCCCUGAUACUUACGGACAGCUGUCGUCAUUCACGGAGCUGUCAGCAUUUCAUUUUUCAUAGGAGUUAAAAGGGUUUUUACCUUGUAACUGAAAGAGGGCAUCACUGCAACUUUGCCAGUUCCGAGGCUGCCUGGGCAGGGGGUGGGACUGGGGUGGGGGUGACUUCGGAGGAGAAACUGCUAGAGGAAGCAAUUCUUUUUGGGUUUGCUAAUAUGAUUACACUGACACAGAAAUUAAAUUUCAAAUCUGGGUUCCUUGCUGAGAGAAAAUAUCUUUGAUUCUGAAAGU
rnacentral:lncRNA from 1 species